rnacentral:rRNA from 1 species
GAUCAUGGCUCAGGAUGAACGCUGGCGGCGUGCCUAAUACAUGCAAGUCGAACGCUUUGUGGUUCAACUGAAUUGAAGAGCUUGCUCAGAUAUGACGAUGGACAUUGCAGAGAGUGACGAACGGGUGAGUAACACGUGGGAAACCUACCUCUUAGCAGGGGAUAACAUUUGGAAACAGAUGCUAAUACCGUAUAACAAUAGCAACCGCAUGGUUGCUACUUAAAAGAUGG